rnacentral:rRNA from 1 species
AAAACCAUGUGGAAAGGCACAGACAGCCAGGAGGUUGGCUUAGAAGCAGCCACCCUUUAAAGAAAGCGUAAUAGCUCACUGGUCGAGUCGGUCUGCGGGGAAGAUUUAACGGGGCUAAGCAGUGAACCGAAGCUUGGGGUGCAUACUUUGUAUGCGCGGUAGAGGAGCGUUCCGUAAGCCGUUGAAGGUGGAUUGAGAAGUCUGCUGGAGGUAUCGGAAGUGCGAAUGCUGACAUGAGUAACGAUAAUGCGGGUGAAAAAACCCGCACGCCGAAAGCCCAAGGUUUCCUUGCGCAACGUUAAUCGGCGCAGGGUGAGUCGGCCCCUAAGGCGAGGACGAAAGUCGUAGUCGAUGGGAAGCAGGUUAAUAUUCCUGCACCUCGCGUAAGUGCGAUGGAGGGACGGAGAAGGUUAGGUGUACCAGGCGUUGGUUGUCCUGGGGAAAGGCGGUAGGUUUGGAUCUUUGGCAAAUCCGGGAUCCUUCAAGACCGAGCACCGAGACGAGCCUUUAAGGCGAAGUCACUGAUACCACGCUUCCAGGAAAAGCUCCUAAGCUUCAGCUUACGCAGACCGUACCGUAAACCGACACAGGUGGGUAGGAUGAGAAUUCUCAGGCGCUUGAGAGAACUCGGGUGAAGGAACUAGGCAACAUGGCACCGUAACUUCGGGAGAAGGUGCACCCUUUU